rnacentral:rRNA from 1 species
UACGGGGGGGGCAAGCGGUUGUUCGGAAUUACUGGGCGUAAAGGGCUCGUAGGCGGCCAACUAAGUCGGAUGUGAAAUCCCCAGGCUUAACCUGGGAACUGCAUCCGAUACUGGAUGGCUUGAAUCCGGGAGAGGGAUGCAGAAUUCCAGGUGUAGCGGUGAAAUGCGUAGAUAUCUGGAGGAAUACCGGUGGCGAAGGCGACUUCCUGGCCCGAUACUGACACUGAGGCGCGAAAGCGUGGGGAGCAAACAGG